UACGAAGGGGGGCUAGCGUUGCUCGGAAUUACUGGGCGUAAAGGGCGCGUAGGCGGUCCUGAUCGUCGGAUGUGAAAGGCCUGGGCUCAACCUGGGGAAUGGCAUCCGAUACGGCGGGACUGGAGUGUGGGAGAGGUUGGUGGAAUUCCCAGUGUAGAGGUGAAAUUCGUAGAUAUUCGCAAGAACACCAGUGGCGAAGGCGGCUCACUGGUCCGGUACUGACGCUGAGGUGCGAAAGCGUGGGGAGCAAACAGGG
rnacentral:rRNA from 1 species